AUCUUAUGAUGAAAACCAAUAUAUCAGUUCUGCUUCUGAGAAUACAGGAAGAUAACCCUAAAUACCAAAAGCUCAAUUAUCUGAUUG
rfam:Cyberlindnera jadinii strain CBS1600 genome assembly, contig: CJ2